rnacentral:rRNA from 1 species
UAGAGCACUGUUUCGGCUAGGGGGCCAUCCCGGCUUACCAACCCGAUGCAAACUGCGAAUACCGGAGAAUGUUAUCACGGGAGACACACGGCGGGUGCUAACGUCCGUCGUGAAGAGGGAAACAACCCAGACCGCCAGCUAAGGUCCCAAAGUCAUGGUUAAGUGGGAAACGAUGUGGGAAGGCCCAGACAGCCAGGAUGUUGGCUUAGAAGCAGCCAUCAUUUAAAGAAAGCGUAAUAGCUCACUGGUCGAGUCGGCCUGCGCGGAAGAUGUAACGGGGCUAAACCAUGCACCGAAGCUGCGGCAGCGACACUGUGUGUUGUUGGGUAGGGGAGCGUUCUGUAAGCCUGUGAAGGUGUGUCGUGAGGCAUGCUGGAGGUAUCAGAAGUGCGAAUGCUGACAUAAGUAACGAUAAAGCGGGUGAAAAGCCCGCUCGCCGGAAGACCAAGGGUUCCUGUCCAACGUUAAUCGGGGCAGGGUGAGUCGACCCCUAAGGCGAGGCCGAAAGGCGUAGUCGAUGGGAAACGGGUUAAUAUUCCCGUACUUGGUGUUACUGCGAAGGGGGGACGGAGAAGGCUAUGUUGGCCGGGCGACGGUUGUCCCGGUUUAAGCGUGUAGGUGUGUGUUCCAGGUAAAUCCGGUUCACUUUAACACUGAGGCGUGACGACGAGGCACUACGGUGCUGAAGCAACAAAUGCCCUGCUUCCAGGAAAAGCCUCUAAGCAUCAGGUAACAUCAAAUCGUACCCCAAACCGACACAGGUGGUCAGGUAGAGAAUACCAAGGCGCUUGAGAGAACUCGGGUGAAGGAACUAGGCAAAAUGGUGCCGUAACUUCGGGAGAAGGCACGCUGACACGUAGGUGAAGUGAUUUACUCAUGGAGCUGAAGUCAGUCGAAGAUACCAGCUGGCUGCAACUGUUUAUUAAAAACACAGCACUGUGCAAACACGAAAGUGGACGUAUACGGUGUGACGCCUGCCCGGUGCCGGAAGGUUAAUUGAUGGGGUCAGCGCAAGCGAAGCUCCUGAUCGAAGCCCCGGUAAACGGCGGCCGUAACUAUAACGGUCCUAAGGUAGCGAAAUUCCUUGUCGGGUAAGUUCCGACCUGCACGAAUGGCGUAAUGAUGGCCAGGCUGUCUCCACCCGAGACUCAGUGAAAUUGAACUCGCUGUGAAGAUGCAGUGUACCCGCGGCAAGACGGAAAGACCCCGUGAACCUUUACUAUAGCUUGACACUGAACAUUGAGCCUUGAUGUGUAGGAUAGGUGGGAGGCUUUGAAGUGUGGACGCCAGUCUGCAUGGAGCCGACCUUGAAAUACCACCCUUUAAUGUUUGAUGUUCUAACGUGGACCCGUUACCCGGGUUGCGGACAGUGUCUGGUGGGUAGUUUGACUGGGGCGGUCUCCUCCUAAAGAGUAACGGAGGAGCACGAAGGUUGGCUAAUCCUGGUCGGACAUCAGGAGGUUAGUGCAAUGGCAUAAGCCAGCUUGACUGCGAGCGUGACGGCGCGAGCAGGUGCGAAAGCAGGUCAUAGUGAUCCGGUGGUUCUGAAUGGAAGGGCCAUCGCUCAACGGAUAAAAGGUACUCCGGGGAUAACAGGCUGAUACCGCCCAAGAGUUCAUAUCGACGGCGGUGUUUGGCACCUCGAUGUCGGCUCAUCACAUCCUGGGGCUGAAGUAGGUCCCAAGGGUAUGGCUGUUCGCCAUUUAAAGUGGUACGCGAGCUGGGUUUAGAACGUCGUGAGACAGUUCGGUCCCUAUCUGCCGUGGGCGCUGGAGAACUGAGGGGGGCUGCUCCUAGUACGAGAGGACCGGAGUGGACGCAUCACUGGUGUUCGGGUUGUCAUGCCAAUGGCACUGCCCGGUAGCUAAAUGCGGAAGAGAUAAGUGCUGAAAGCAUCUAAGCACGAAACUUGCCCCGA